CCGGACCGAGAGAGGCUGGGCGGAACGAGCGAGCCUCUCUAAGGUGCUCCAGCCCAGGUGGGCCCAGGUUGGCGCCGCCCGAGACGGGAGCAGCUUUGCCAGACGCUUUCAAACACUGUGCCAGGGAAGAUGUAGAGGAACGCAAGACCCCAGGAACCUAAAUACGAUUGCAGUCUUAAAUUAAAGAGAUGUCAUACAGGGAUGUUUUGUUACCAGGCUAAGUAGCACCAUCAUGAUUGGGAGAAUGAAGUUGGCCGGUUGCCACGCCAGUCCUGGUUGGGGUGACGUUUCUUCCUUGAUUAGAACACUGCUUCUUCCUGGAUUGUUUAUCUGGUGCUGUUUCCUCCUCACCUGGGUGUUGGCUGGGAGGGAGAAUGUGUUUAUGAGUGGUCUGUUUCUCUCCCUGACUUUUGGUCGCAUCUUUUAAAUGGCAGGUAGAUGGGGCUUUAUAUCUUCUAUCCAUGUGGUUUUGACCAUGACAAGCCGUGGAAUGUGCUCAGAAAAAUGGGAAUCCCAGAACAUCUCAUUGUCCUUACCUAAAAGCUAUAUACCGGUCGGGAAGCCGCAGUGUAGACAGAAGAUGGCGAAACAGACUGGCUCCAGGUUGCCAGAGAGACAAGGCUGUAUACACUCCCCUUAUUUAUUCAGUCUAUAUGCU